rnacentral:SRP_RNA from 1 species
AGGCCGGGCGGACAGGCAUCUCGCCAACCCGGUCAGGUCCGGAAGGAAGCAGCCGUAACGAGUCUUCGCCUGGGUCGUAUCAACCGGUCUCCC